rnacentral:rRNA from 1 species
AACGUAGGGGGCUAGCGUUGUCCGGAAUUACUGGGCGUAAAGCGCACGCAGGCGGUCUGGAAAGCGGUGGGUGCAAUCUCGAGGCUCAACCUCGAAACUGCUCGCCGAACUACCAGACUUGAGCACGGGAGAGGACAGUGGAAUUCCCGGUGUAGCGGUGGAAUGCGUAAAUAUCGGGAGGAACACCAGUGGCGAAGGCUGCUGUCUGGAACGUUGCUGACGCUGAGGUGCGAAAGCCAGGGGAGCGAACGGGAUUAGAUACC